CAGGAAGCCAACUAUGGUGUGCUUCAAAACAGAAUGAAAUUGGAGAGGGGGAUCCAAGCAAAGGGUCCCGGCAGACAGAUGAAGAAGGUGGUUGUGGAAAGCUUCAUGGAGAGAGACCCUUGCCUGGCCCUGAAGAACUGCUGUAUUUAAAUGGAUACGAAAGUCAGGGCAAUGAAUGGGGUAGGUGAUUGUUCCAGACCGGGGGAAAUGCACAGACAUGGAGAGUUUAAAGCCAUGGCAUAGCUGUGGUAUAUUAGAGAGCAGGCUAUCAGGGAUAACUGCAGUAGCUGUUAAUCGUCCUAGCUAUGUUUAUGAGAAAGGGAUAGUUCAACAAUCAGGUAGGGGGACAUCCCUACUCUCCCUUCCAGGAACAUUCUCCCUUUAGAGAAUGUUAAGAUUUAUUCACAAAUGGUAUCUCUUAGAGCCAAAAGACACCUCAAGUAGUUGCUAUGUGGUCCUGCCCUGGCUUCAAGUAGGUAUUAGACCUCCUUUGCUAACAAAAAUUCCAAAGGCAGGAGGUGGAGGGAGAAUGGAGCUGGACCAUCUUAACUUCCCAGGACAGUUGUCAAAUCAAACCUGUGAUUUGGGAGACUUCAGGGUGAGGUGGAUAGAGUAUUGUUUUGGAUUCUGAUUCUAGCUCUGCUGCCUUUCAGCUGUGAGAUCUCAGGCAACUUUUACCCCUAGUCUAACCUCAGAUAAGUUGUCAAAGAACACAGUUGAAAUUAUGAGCAAAUAUCCAGGCAAAUAGGAUGUACUCAAGGAUUGUUCCAGAUGUUAAAUCCAUGACAACAGAAAUUGUUAUCUAUUGCAUCUACUGCUAAUUCCCCAAGAUCCACAAUAGAUUGGUGUGUAGUAACAGAUCAACAGCUAUCUGUGGAAUGAAUGAAAGACUCCUCUUCUCACCUUUCCAUGGCUGGUACAUUCAUUCACUGGAGCCUCUUUAGCUGUUUACAGUUACUUCCACAUUCUUAAUUUCAUUUGCAUCUUUUGAUUUUGAAGUGUGAACAUGACCACACCGUAAGACAGGCUGGUGUUACAGAAAAAGAUUCAUGAUAUAUUUACUGACAGGGCUCAGACCAGGAGUUGGAUGGACCCAUUAUCAAUUCACAAAAGUUCAACUACAUUCGACUACUUCAAGGAGAAAAAUUAUGUAAAGCAAUAAUCACGAUUAUCAAGAGAAAAAAAUUGUGAAUUGUGAGCAACCUGGGGACAAAAACUCAAACUUGUUUUAUCUUCAGUUCCUGACACAGCAACUCAUAGGCAUUAAGAACUCAGUGAAUAUUGAAUGGAAGAACAAACCAAGAAAUGAAUGAAGGAGUGAGUGAACGAGUGACUAUAUUAAGCAUUAGUUAAUAAGAGAUGAGGAAAAGGAAGCUGUCAUUGAGUGUCCACUGUGUGUCAAAUUCUGUGCUAAUUG
rnacentral:lncRNA from 1 species